rnacentral:lncRNA from 1 species
AGACGGGGUUUCGCGGUGUUGGCCGGGCUGGUAUCCAGCUCCUGACCGCGAGUGAUCUGCCCGCCUGGGCCUCCCGAGGUGCCGGGAUUGCAGACGGAGUCUCGCUUACUCAGUGCUCAAUGUUGCCCAGGCUGGAGUGCAGUGGCGUGAUCUCGGCUUGCUACAACAUCCAUCUCCCAGCCGCCUGCCUUGGCCUCCCAAAGUGCCGAGAUUGCAGCCUCUGCCCUGCCGCCACCCAGUCUGGGAAGUGAGGAGCGUCUCUGCCUGGCUGCCCGUCUCUGGGAUGUGAGGAGACCCUCUGCCUGGCCGCCCAGUCUGGGAAGUGAGGAGCGCCUCUUCCUGGCCGCCAUCCCAUCUAGGAAGUGAGGAGCGUCUCUGGCCGGCUGCCCAUCGCCUGAGAUGUGAGGAGUGCCUCGGCCAGGCCGUGAACCUGUCUGGGAUCUGAGGAGUGUCUCUGCCUGACCGCCACCCCGUCUGGGAGAGACUGUUACAUUUAAAGAAUGCAUCAAAUAGCACAUACCCAGUGGCAGGAGAAAUCGAAGAUGAUUUGGAGGUUUCAAACCAGGGAGAUAUACGGCCACUCAGGAAAAGCAGGAAGAAAAUGUGGAGCUUGAGAUUUCAGCAGAGGCUGACCCAUCAAGUGGAAUCCUGUGGCCAAGAAGCAGCUCCGGCAGAAAGUCAGAGAGAGAGGAGAGUGAGGAUAAGGUACCAUUCCUCUGGUUCUGUUGUUGAAAACUCCGAUUCAUUUUUCAAGUACUUGCUGCAAUGUGACUUUAUGAAACGGUAGAGAGGAUGGAUUUAGGAAGGGAUAGAGAAAUCAAGGACAAUUAGGAAUAAAAGAACUAAAGAAGACAUUUUUGUAAUUGUACACAUUGAGAAGUAAUAAAUACCAUUAGGGAUACACAUUCUUUGAGGACCAGCCUCAGUGUUUUUAACUUUCUGUUCCCAAUGUCUAGCUCUGCUCUCCAGUAUAGAAAACAUACUCAACACAUAUUAUUUGAAUAAAAAAGAUGAACUAUAAGAUAAGCAAAGGUCAGGAGUCCAAGGUUUACCUUGUAUCCAUUGUCUUCCUUGCGGUUGUGAGAGGCAGUAAUCAUCACACCUGCAACUGCUUUGAGCUUCUGAACUGCAUAUGGCUGAAAAAUAAAUAACACCAUAAUUCCAUUUUGCUUCCUAGCUAUUUACACAUUUGACAUGAGAAUAAUUUUGAUUAAAUAACAGGAAAAGCAUUAUAGUAUGAUAUUGCUUUUGUUGAUACCCUCUUUAUUUUCUAUUUACUUGAUUUUUCCUCAUACCUUUAUUAUAAGAUUUCCUUCCUUUUACUUUUUUGGAUUUCUUCUGUUUUAGCACAAACAUGUUAAGUGAAAGCCAACUUAUUAUUUUAAAAUCUUUUUUUUCCUUAUAUAUUCAUUAAGGCUAUACAUUUCCCUCUAAGUAGGGCUUUAGUUAUAUCCCAUAAUUUUUGCUAUGUAUUAUUUUCAUUAUUGCUCACUUUUAAAUACCUACAGGCAGUCCUUGCUUUGCUCAGUUCCUAUACACAAAAUUACUGAUACUAUGCUUUUGUUAAAAUAGCUCCAGUCUCCCAACAACACGUUCAAAUUUCAGUUACCACGGUAAUAUUAGCCAUAACUGCAUCAAGUACACACUUGGCUUCUAACUCUUCAGUCCACACAUCCCUACAUUUAUAACACAGCCACAUCAUGAUGAGUGAUCAAUCAUAUCACUCUUCAAAAGGGUGUCAGUGAUUGGUCACUGAGCAUCUGUUACUUAGCGCUCACACAAACUGCAAAACAUGUGGCUCUAUUGCCUCCUUUUCUCCCAAUAAUAGACCCACAUGACAGUGUACAAAAAUGGAUAAUGGAAAGUGGGAAUUGGCCAACAAAGGUGAAAGUGCAGCAAAGAAACAAAAAGGAGUAAUAAUAGAGAGAAAUUUGAAUUAAACAUAAAUGGAGUUAUAGAAAAAAUAAGUGGGAAUGCUGACACUGCUGCCAUUCAAGAGACUUUAGACAUACUACCAGGGAAGUGUAGUGAAGGGGAACACAUGGAUUAAACGAGGAACGAGGCUGUAAUGAGAAGGAUGAAGAUGUCCCAGAGGAAGUGACACCAACAAAAAAAACCUUCAUAUUAAAGGAACUCCCAGAGAUAUUUCACGACAUUGAAAUUAACAAAGGAUAAGAUGCUGGAAGUGAAUCCAAACUCAGAAAGGUAUAUUAACAAUUUGCCAAGGCACAGAAAAGAUGCUUGCUUGUAAUAUAAAUAAAUUAUAACCACAAGAAGCAAGCUCUGUUUAUCUCCUGAUAAGUUUUAUUAAUUUAUUUAUUUAUUGACAUGGAGUCUUGCUCUGCUGUCCAGGCUGGAGUUCAGCGGCACAAUCUCAGCUCACUGCAAUCUCUGCCUCUCAGGUUCAAGCAACUCUCGUGCCCCAGCCUCCUGAGUAGCUGGGAUUACAGGCGUGCACCACCACACCUGGCUAAUUUUUGUAUUUUUAGUAGAGAUGGGGUUUCGUUGUGUUGGUCAGGCUGGUCUCAAACUCCUGACCUCAGGUGAUCCACACACCUUGGCCUCCCAAAGUGCUGGGAUUACAGGCAUGAGACAUUGCCCCUGGCCUCCUGAUAAGUUCUUUUUACAAAGAAAUAAAGUACUUUAGUUAUCAAUGUUUCUUAACGUUUUAAAUUACAAUGUACUAAAUAAACAUUCAUUUUAUCAUUGUUUUUUCUUUUCCCUAUACAUUUUUAACCAAGAGUAAGAGUGUUUUUAAUGUUUUGGCAAAAAAAAAUGUUAAAGGUCAUGGAACAGUCAUAAUUUUUCUCAUUUAUGAUUAAGAUCAUUUGGCAUGGUUUUGGCUUGUACAGCUGUCUUUAUAGCCCCCACGCUCCGUGCAAAGCAAGGACUGUCUGUCAUUGCUAAUCUGCAUUAUGUUAUCUUCCUUAAUCCAUGAAUAGUUUAUGAAUGUGUUUUAAAAAUUCCAAACAGGGGAAGAUUUAUGGGCUUUUUUAUUUCUGAUUUUAUUGCAUGGGAUCCAGGUAUAUGGCUUGAUAAGCAGUUCUUUGGCAUUUGCUGAGACUGUGAUUCUGCUUAAUAAUAAUGUAAAUCCUAUUGUCACUCAAUAGAGAAUUUUUACACACAUACACACACACACACCCAGAUCAAGCCUGUUAACAAUGUGUUCAAAUCUAUCCUUCAUCAUUUUUGUCUGCCCAAUGAAUCAAUUUCUGAAAGAAGAUGUUAACAUAUUUCACUAUAACUGUAGACUUGUCAACUUUUAUAGAUCAAGUUCUUAGCUAAGUUUAACAAAUGUCUGUUGAAUGAAAAUAAACUCAAAGCAAAAUUUGUUUUCCUUCCAUUGGUCCCUUAUAUUACUCAAUACAGAACUACAUGCACAAAAAAUAUUUGAAUCCUAGUUGAUUUAAGAAAUGUUUUCAAGAGCAGCAAGCUAUAUGAUCACCAACACAACACACUUACUACAAAAGGUGUAGGAACAUAUCUUGAAAAAAGGUACACAGGAACAUCUUUGGCCAGCAAGACUGCAGCAGUGAGUUUAGCAAGCCUAAAAAAAGAGAGAUUUAACUUAGUCCUUUGCCUACCAUACUUUUUAAAAACCAACCUUCCACAUAAAUGUUUCAUAUUAUAAUUAGUCUGAAUAAAUAGUAUCCUAAUAUAGCCCUUUCUUAUAAUCACUGAUUAUUUAAACUUCAUGCCCUAAUUGGAAAAUUUUAAAUAAAUAAGUUUUUUUAAAAGAAGAGUUUAACAACUAACAUAAUUGAUAUUUCAAUUUCCUCUUUUUCCCUCAUUCAUCUUUUGAUGGCUCUUUUACUAAGAAAUAAAAUCUGCAAAAGGCAAAAAGAAUGGAAAAAGUGAUAUAAGAGACUUUGAUAAACUCAAUAUGCAUUAUUACCCCUGAAGAAAGAUAUCACUACAUGAUUAUCUAUUUAUAAAAACACCCUAAAACUAAUCUAAUAGGCAUAUAAUGAGAAUAUAAGCUACAUAAUUACUACUACCCGGUGCCUUUGCCAAAAUAUUAAAGUUAUAAGCUAUGAUGUCAUUCUAAAUAUGAACUCUAAAUAUUUUAAAUUUUUACUUCUUUCUGUAAAAUCUAAAGCUUUUCUUUGAGAUACUUUUUCUUCUAUUUCAGCUUUAAAGUAAAUAUUAGCAUGUGAUCACAUUUCUAUCUGACAGUCUACUGUUUCAGAAAUCCUACUACU